UACGGGGGGGGCAAGCGUUGUUCGGAAUUACUGGGCGUAAAGGGUGCGUAGGCGGUCCGCUAAGUUGGAUGUGAAAACUCUGGGCUUAACCCAGAGCCUGCAUUCAAAACUGACGGGCUAGAGUUCUGGAGGGGGUAGCGGAAUUCCUGGUGUAGCGGUGAAAUGCUUAGAUAUGACAUAGAACACCCAUUGCGAAGGCAGCUAACUACGCGAUCAUUGACGCUGAUGCACGAAAGCGUGGGGAUCAAACAGG
rnacentral:rRNA from 1 species